GCCUCAUGGGAGGUCUGGCCCAAGGAAGCUUUCUUUUGAUGGAGCAUGCAGGCGUUUUUUUUGCUCGCAGUCCCCUCCAGGAAACCAGCAGCAAGGAGCAGUAAAUCAAUAGCCACGCAGUGUGGGCAAAUGACAACCCGUUUAGUUUGCCGGCCUACUUCGUUUCACAACAUGUGGCCUGGCCUUCUAAACCGAAGGCAUGGUCUCGGGGAGAAAAUAUUUCCCUGCACUAAAUCAGAUUUGGCAGCAGGUGGUCCGUGGAGUUGUGAGUGAGCUGCCUCUACACCUGCCAAGGACUGUGGAGCCAGAAGAAAUCACUCUAUUUUUCUCCACCCUGAUUAUUCAAUCUUGCAGUCCUAUUGCUGGCUCAAGAUAAGAUGGAGAAUCCAUGCAGUGGAGGCUUAUCUGAACUUAGCACACACUCUCAGGAGUAUGGGAUUUCACUAGAAAUUCCAUCACCACACUUCAGGGUCAUGAGGUCUGGAGCCAAUCCCAUCAUGCACUGAGCAGAAUCCAGCAUAACAUGUACAGUAUGACACAUUGCCGUCUUAACAAAAUCAGUUGACUUUCGUCUGUUACUUCCUUGGAUACCUCUUUACUUUUUUUGGAUACUCUCUGUAAGUGGUUGUAUUAUACUACCAUGAUGUUUUUUUGCAUGCACAGAUGUACCGUGUG